rnacentral:rRNA from 1 species
AGCAUGUGGUUUAAUUCGAUGAUACGCGAGGAACCUUACCUGGGCUCAAAUGUAUGUUGACGUAUUCUGAAAGGGAUACUUCUUCGGACAAUAUACAAGGUGCUGCAUGGUUGUCGUCAGCUCGUGCCGUGAGGUGUCGGGUUAAGUCCCAUAACGAGCGCAACCCCUAUCAUUAGUUGCCAUCAGGUCAAGCUGGGGACUCUAAUGAAACUGCCUACGCAAGUAGUGAGGAAGGUGGGGAUGACGUCAAGUCAUCAUGGCCCUUAUGUCCAGGGCGACACACGUGCUACAAUGGCCGGCACAGCGGGAAGCGAGGCAGUGAUGCCAAGCGGAUCCCUUAAAGCCGGUCUCAGUUCGGAUUGAAGUCUGCAACUCGACUUCAUGAAGCUGGAAUCGCUAGUAAUCGCAGAUCAGCCAAGCUGCGGUGAAUACGUUCCCGGGCCUU